GACAGAGGGGGCAAGCGUUGCUCGGAAUUACUGGGCGUAAAGGGCGCGUAGGCGGGAUGGCAAGUCGGUCGUGAAAUCCCUCGGCUCAACUGAGGAUCGUCGAUCGAUACUGCCGUUCUUGAGGAUUGCAGAGGAGACUGGAAUUCCCGGUGUAGCGGUGAAAUGUGUAGAGAUCGGGAGGAACACCGGUGGCGAAGGCGGGUCUCUGGGCAAUUCCUGACGCUGAGGAGCGAAAGCGUGGGGAGCAAACAGG
rnacentral:rRNA from 1 species